GUGCUCGCUUCGGCAGCACAUACACUAAAAUUGGAAAGACCCCAAGAAAAUUAGCAUGGCCCCUGAGCAAGGAUGGCACACAAAUUCGUGAAUACUUCCAUUUAAAA